UACGUAUGGUGCAAGCGUUAUCCGGAUUUACUGGGUGUAAAGGGAGCGUAGACGGCUGUGUAAGUCUGAAGUGAAAGCCCGGGGCUCAACCCCGGGACUGCUUUGGAAACUAUGCAGCUAGAGUGUUGGAGAGGUAAGUGGAAUUCCCAGUGUAGCGGUGAAAUGCGUAGAUAUUGGGAGGAAUACCAGUGGCGAAGGCGGCUUACUGGACGAUGACUGACGUUGAGGCUCGAAAGCGUGGGGAGCAAACAGG
rnacentral:rRNA from 1 species